rnacentral:rRNA from 1 species
UACGUAGGGGGCUAGCGUUGUCCGGAAUCAUUGGGCGUAAAGAGCGUGUAGGCGGUCCGGUAAGUCCGUUGUGAAAGUCAGGGGCUCAACCCUUGAAUGCCGGCGGAUACUGUCGGGCUAGAAUCCGGAAGAGGCGAGUGGAAUUCCCGGUGUAGCGGUGAAAUGCGCAGAUAUCGGGAGGAACACCUAUGGCGAAGGCAGCUCGCUGGGACGGUACUGACGCUGAGACGCGAAAGCGUGGGGAGCAAACAGG